CAAUAGCGUAUAUUAAAGCUGUUGCGGUUAAAAAGCUCGUAGUUGGAUUUCUGUCAAGGACAACUGGUCCGCCCCUCGGGUGAGCACAUAGUUUGGUCUUGGCAUCUUGUUGGAAACUGUUGCUGCACUUGGUUGUGUGGCGCAGUGUCCAGCACUUUCACUUUGAGGAAAUUGGAGUGUUUCAAGCAGGCACAUGCCUUUGGACACAGUAGCAUGGAAUAAUUAGAUUGGGCUUUUGCUCCAACUUGUCGGUUUCUGGAGCUGAGGUGAGAAUUAAUGGGGAUUGUUGGGGGCAUCCGAAUUUAGCCGUCAGAGGUGAAAUUCUUGGAUCUGCUAAAGACGGACAACUGCGAAAGCGUCUGCCAAGGAUGUUUUCAUUGA
rnacentral:rRNA from 1 species